CCGCAGGAAUCCGGGACGCGGGGUCGGGGGCGCCAGAGACUGACCGGCGCCCUGCGGGGCGUCCCGUUUACCAGGAUGCAGUCAGAAAUUCCAUGGAGAGCUGCAUCAGCUUUUAACAUAAAACUGAUGGGGUCCACGAAAUUCUAUGCCUCAGAAGGCUUCUCCAGGGGUAACCAGGCCGCGCUCCUCUGCCUUUGGGGUUAUUUCGGUGCAUACUCACUUUGGGAAGAGCCUUGUUUCCCGGAAGCCUAUCGGAGAAGGAUGCUCUGGCGCCCUCUGGUGGCGCAUCCCGGAACAGGGAUCCCUUCCUGACUUCUGCUGCUGCCUGCCCUUGGACCUAUUUUCAGAUGGAACAGUAAGCUGUCAGGUCCUGAGUAUCCCAGGACCCCCGAUUAACAAGCAUGCCCACCCUGUGUUUGUGAAGGGGAAAGAGUGAACACCAAGGCCCUGGGCUGGGCUGCAGAAUCCUCUCCGCUAAGACCUGCUGGCAGAUG